CAGGAGACAGUUAUCCCUUUCUGGUCUGCCUCAGGGGACUUGAGGUGGGGGGUCUAUCUUCAGCUGUGAAUGGUGAGUUCUGUUCAGCAUCAGGGUUUGGAUGGGGGUUUUAGACUCGCCAGAGAUCA
ensembl:snoRNA